AUCAGUGUGGUGUGGUGGUUUGAACGUUGAUUAUGACUCUGGAAAUCAGGGUUCAAAUCCCUGCUCUGGCA